GACGAACGCUGGCGGCGUGCCUAAUACAUGCAAGUCGAACGCUUCUUUCCUCCCGAGUGCUUGCACUCAAUUGGAAAGAGGAGUGGCGGACGGGUGAGUAACACGUGGGUAACCUACCCCUCAGAGGGGGAUAACACUUGGAAACAGGUGCUAAUACCGCAUAACAGUUUAUGCCGCAUGGCAUAAGAGUGAAAGGCGCUUUCGGGUGUCGCUGAUGGAUGGACCCGCGGUGCUUUAGCUAGUUGGUGAGGUAACGGCUCACCAAGGCCACGAUGCAUAGCCGACCUGAGAGGGUGAUCGCCCACACUGGGACUGAGACGCGGCCCAGACUCCUACGGGAGGCAGCAGUAGGGAAUCUUCGGCAAUGGACGAAAGUCUGACCGAGCAACGCCGCGUGAGUGGAGAAGGUGUUCGGAUCGUAAAACUCUGUUGUUAGAGAAGAACAAGGACGUUAGUAACUGAACGUCCCCUGACGGUAUCUAACCAGAAAGCCACGGCUAACUACGUG
rnacentral:rRNA from 1 species